rnacentral:lncRNA from 10 species
UUUCAGAAUUUGUGACCUCUGCAUAGGGAUGAAGAACACAAGAAGAGAAGGGAGAUGUUUUGUCUCCCUAAAGGAAAUAAGCAUUUGACCUGCAGCAGAUAGAGAGAAAUACAUAAUACAGAUCAGAGGACCCAACUGAAGAAGCAAAACACAGAUUGACUUGAGGAUGCCUCAAGAGCUUUUAUUUUGAUCAUCACAGUUCAUCUGGUGCUGUUAUGGGAAGAUGGACAAAGAGAUCUUUGAGAUCAGGAAAAACACAGAUCAAAAAAAGAAAACCAAGAUGGGCUGUUGGCUGAGAAAUCAAGGUCUUUUUGGAGAAGUUGUAUCUCUAGUUGCUUGGAGAGGAGCAUGUGGUCUGUCUACUACUAUGCAGUGCCAAACGAUAGAUACGUUCCAAUAUGUAAGUAUUUUUUUUUUACUCCUACUAAUUUUUUUCCAAAAUAUCUUUUUCUAUUCUCACUAUAGUUUACUUAUCCCAAGUUAAUGGGAAGUUGAG